rnacentral:rRNA from 1 species
UACGUAGGGUGCGAGCGUUAAUCGGAAUUACUGGGCGUAAAGCGUGCGCAGGCGGUUUUGUAAGCCAGAUGUGAAAUCCCCGGGCUUAACCUGGGAAUGGCAUUUGGGACUGCAAGGCUGGAGUGCGGCAGAGGAGACUGGAAUUCCUGGUGUAGCAGUGAAAUGCGCAGAUAUCAGGAGGAACACCGGUGGCGAAGGCGGGUCUCUGGGCCGAUACUGACGCUGGAGGAGCGAAAGCGUGGGGAGCGAACAGG